rnacentral:rRNA from 1 species
GACGAACGCUGGCGGCGUGCUUAACACAUGCAAGUCGAACGGAAAGGCCCUGCUUUUGUGGGGUGCUCGAGUGGCGAACGGGUGAGUAACACGUGAGUAACCUGCCCUUGACUUUGGGAUAACUUCAGGAAACUGGGGCUAAUACCGGAUAGGAGCUCCUGCUGCAUGGUGGGGGUUGGAAAGUUUCGGCGGUUGGGGAUGGACUCGCGGGUUAUCAGCUUGUUGGUGGGGUAGUGGCUUACCAAGGCUUUGACGGGUAGCCGGCCUGAGAGGGUGACCGGCCACAUUGGGACUGAGGUACGGCGCAGACGCCUACGGGAGGCAGCAGUGGGGAAUAUUGCACAAUGGGCGGAAGCCUGAUGCAGCAACGCCGCGUGCGGGAUGACGGCCUUCGGGUUGUAAACCGCUUUCGCCUGUGACGAAGCGUGAGUGACGGUAAUGGGUAAAGAAGCACCGGCUAACUACGUG